AUUCUUCUUGUUUCUCUUUUAUCUGUACAUCUCUACCAUUCCGUUUGCUCGGUGAACAGUGUGUUCCCUUCAUUCACUGGUCAGUUCUCCGUUUGAUGACACAGGGUUUUUAAUUUUUACAAGAUUCUCAACGCAAAAUGCUUUGUUUGUUGGCAAAAACAUAUUGGUAUAGUCAUACUGAAUAUAAAUGUCAUAUUUUAAAAAGUAUUUAAUUUUAGUAAGUAAAUUGUUGAAAUUAUUUUGACAUAGUAUACUUAACAGUAAACCAGAGACUACCCUUUAUGUUACCUAAUAAUUUGAAGAUUAGUUAGUAUAUGAAAUGAGUUAUAUAGAAGAUUCAUUACAUAACUUUUUGUCUCUCAUACAUAUUUCUUAUUGUGUGUAUGGAAAUUAAACCUACAUAAAAGUAAAAGUUGCUUCACAUUUGAAAUUUGCCCUUUUAAGAAGAUGCUGAAAGUCUUCAUAAUACAAUCACUGGUAAAUUCUCUGACUUACUAUUAUUAUUACCGUUAUUAUUUCUCUAAACGUCUGUAUUUUAUAUAUUGAGGAAAGUUGAAGAAGUUUGAUGUAUAUUUUAAUUGUUUCAGUAUUAUUUAACAUUUUUAGAAGUUUCUAUCUAGCUUUUUUCUUUAAUCUGAAUUCCCUUGUUCUUCACUCAUGUUAAUUUAAAUAUCUCAUCAAAAAGUAGUUCUUUAUUUUUGCAAUGUAGUUAUCAUUAGGAACAAUAGAGAUUAAUAAUUAACAUGUAAAAUUAAUGUUUUUUCAUUAAUUCAAAUGUUUAUUAAAGCUAGUAGCUUAGACAUUUU
rnacentral:lncRNA from 1 species